UAACGCAUUAAGUACCCCGCCUGGGGAGUACGAUCGCAAGGCUGAAACUCAAAGGAAUUGACGGGGGCCCGCACAAGCGGUGGAGCAUGUGGUUUAAUUCGACGCAACGCGAAGAACCUUACCAGGGCUUGACAUCUACCUGAAGCAUAUUAGAGAUAGUAUGUUCUCUUCGGAGCAGGUAGACAGGUGGUGCAUGGUUGUCGUCAGCUCGUGUCGUGAGAUGUUGGGUUAAGUCCCGCAACGAGCGCAACCCUUAUUCUUAGUUGCCAUCAGGUAAUGCUGGGCACUCUAGGGAGACUGCCGGUGACAAACCGGAGGAAGGUGGGGAUGACGUCAAAUCAUCAUGCCCUUUAUGUCCUGGGCUACACACGUGCUACAAUGGCCGGUACAACGAGUUGCGAGACAGCGAUGUUUAGCCAAUCUCUUAAAGCCGGUCUCAGUUCGGAUUGCAGGCUGCAACUCGCCUGCAUGAAGUCGGAAUCGCUAGUAAUCGCGAAUCAGCACGUCGCGGUGAAUACGUUCCCGGGCCUUGUACACACCGCCCGUCACACCACGAAAGCCAGCAACACCCGAAGCCGGUGGCUUAACCGUAAGGAAAGAGCCGUCUAAGGUGGGGUUGGUGAUUGGGGUGAAGUCGUAACAAGGUAACCAAGGGCGAA
rnacentral:rRNA from 1 species